rnacentral:rRNA from 1 species
UACGUAGGUGGCAAGCGUUGUCCGGAAUUACUGGGUGUAAAGGGCGUGUAGGCGGGAAGAUAAGUCAGAUGUGAAAUCCCAGGGCUUAACUCUGGAGCUGCAUCUGAAACUGUUUUUCUUGAGUACUGGAGAGGAAAGUGGAAUUCCUAGUGUAGCGGUGAAAUGCGUAGAGAUUAGGAGGAACACCAGUGGCGAAGGCGGCUUUCUGGACAGUAACUGACGCUGAGGCGCGAAAGCGUGGGGAGCAAACAGGAUUAGAUACCCGCGUA